AAGAUUAAGCCAUGCAUGUCUAAGUAUAAGCAAUUAUACAGCGAAACUGCGAAUGGCUCAUUAUAUAAGUUAUCGUUUAUUUGAUAGUGCCUUACUACUUGGAUAACCGUGGUAAUUCUAGAGCUAAUACAUGCUAAAAAUCCCGACUUCGGAAGGGAUGUAUUUAUUAGAUUAAAAACCAAUGCCCUCUGGGCUCUUUGGUGAUUCAUGAUAACUUCUCGAAUCGCACGGCCUUGCGCCGGCGAUGGCUCAUUCAAAUUUCUUCCCUAUCAACUUUCGAUGUUUGGGUAGUGGCCAAACAUGGUUGCAACGGGUAACGGAGGGUUAGGGCUCGACCCCGGAGAAGGAGCCUGAGAAACGGCUACUACAUCCAAGGAAGGCAGCAGGCGCGCAAAUUACCCAAUCCCGAUUCGGGGAGGUAGUGACAAUAAAUACUGAUACAGGGCUCUUUCGGGUCUUGUAAUCGGAAUGAGUACAAUUUAAAUCCCUUAACGAGGAACAAUUGGAGGGCAAGUCUGGUGCCAGCAGCCGCGGUAAUUCCAGCUCCAAUAGCGUAUAUUAAAGUUGUUGUGGUUAAAAAGCUCGUAGUUGAACCUUGGGCCUGGCUGGCCGGUCCGCCUCACCGCGAGUACUGGUCCGGCCGGGUCUUUCCCUCUGUGGAACCCCAUGCCCUUCACUGGGUGUGGCGGGGAAACAGGACUUUUACUUUGAAAAAAUUAGAGUGCUCCAGGCAGGCCUAUGCUCGAAUACAUUAGCAUGGAAUAAUAGAAUAGGACGUGUGGUUCUAUUUUGUUGGUUUCUAGGACCGCCGUAAUGAUUAAUAGGGACAGUCGGGGGCAUCAGUAUUCAAUUGUCAGAGGUGAAAUUCUUGGAUUUAUUGAAGACUAACUACUGCGAAAGCAUUUGCCAAGGAUGUUUUCAUUAAUCAGGAACGAAAGUUAGGGGAUCGAAAACGAUCAGAUACCGUUGUAGUCUUAACCAUAAACUAUGCCGACUCGGGAUCGGACGAUGUUAUUUUUUGACUCGUUCGGCACCGUACGAUAAAUCAAAGUGCUUGGGCUCCAGGGGGAGUAUGGUCGCAAGGCUGAAA
rnacentral:rRNA from 1 species